rnacentral:rRNA from 1 species
AUUGAACGCUGGCGGCAUGCUUUACACAUGCAAGUCGAACGGUAACAGGGAGCUUGCUCCGCUGACGAGUGGCGAACGGGUGAGUAAUGCAUCGGAACGUACCCAGUCGUGGGGGAUAACGUAGCGAAAGUUACGCUAAUACCGCACACGUCCUGAGGGAGAAAGCGGGGGACCGUAAGGCCUCGCGCGAUUGGAGCGGCCGAUGUCGGAUUAGCUAGUUGGUGGGGUAAAGGCCUACCAAGGCGACGAUCCGUAGCGGGUCUGAGAGGAUGAUCCGCCACACUGGGACUGAGACACGGCCCAGACUCCUACGGGAGGCAGCAGUGGGGAAUUUUGGACAAUGGGGGCAACCCUGAUCCAGCCAUGCCGCGUGAGUGAAGAAGGCCUGGUGUAAGCUCUUUCAGACGG